rnacentral:rRNA from 1 species
ACGGAGGGUGCAAGCGUUGUCCGGAAUCACUGGGCGUAAAGGGCGCGUAGGCGGCUCAUGAAGGCUGUGGUGAAAGUCCGGGGCUCAACCUCGGAUCGGCCGUGGCGACUCGUGGGCUGGAGCACUGUAGAGGCGGGUGGAAUUCCGGGUGUAGCGGUGGAAUGCGUAGAGAUCCGGAAGAACACCGGUGGCGAAGGCGGCCUGCUGGGCUGUGGCUGACGCUGAGGCGCGACAGCGUGGGGAGCAAACAGGA